CAGUCAUUAAUACGAAUUAUUUUUAUAUUUUCUUGUUCUUUGCUAUUGCAUAUCUGCAAAAAAUUGAUUCCCUAUUACAGAUUAUUGUGCUUUUUUUUUUUAAAUAAGAAAAAUAAUCACAAUUGCUUUAUCACAGACUGAAAACAUUCACCUGAGAAGUGUGUCCUGAAGGCCCUUAUCUUUUUCCUGAGAGAAAGUCCUGAAGACCUCAUCAAGGAGUACUUUCUGAGUUGAACGAUAACCCGACAAAUGAUUGAGGAGCAGCUUACCAUGGCGAUGUUCAUUAUUUGGAAGGAGGGGGAGAACUUCAUGAACCAUCUGCUGACAUUGAGGGAGUUAAAGUUUUGAAUCAACUUAAGUUACAUCAGCUUGUGCCCUGCUUCUAGGCCUACAGUUGGAAGCAGCUAUUCUCCUCUUGCCUGCACUGUUCAAGGUGGACCUGGGGUUGCUGUUUGACAUUGAGGGCCAUGCUCAGACCAGCCCUCCUGUCAUCCCAACACCUAAGAUAGUGCCUAAAGCCUGCGGGAGGAUCAUCUCAUGCAGUAUGACCACAUUUUGUUCACGUUGGAUGGCCAGUUAAUCACAGAGUAGAGUGAGGACAUCUUGAUGGCACUGGACCUCCUCCUAUGUGUAUAUUUUGCGUUUGGAAUCGAAUCCAAUCCAGUAUCCUAAAGGACUGAAAAAGACACUGACCUUUUUGAAAUGUGUUGUUUUGAAAUUGAAGGAUGCAGACGGACUUCCUGUCACUGUAAAUUGAGUGUACAACUCAAUCUGUGAGUAGAAUUUCGGAGUCAAUAUUCUGUCUUGCUCCCUUUCUUAUGGUUUUAGUUCCAGUUUCUAUAUUGUUUUUGAAAUCAUGAAGGACUUACAAAAAUGUUAGUUUCUAUAUUUUGGACAUUUAUUUAUGUUGCCUAGCAGGUUUUUUGUCUUAUUUUUGUUCUUGUACUAUAUUUUUUGUUUUGUACUAUUUGAUUGAUCUUGAGUAAAUAAAUAAUGUACAUUUCUACAUUUUGGACUUUUAUUUAUGUUGCCUAGCAGCUAUGGAUUUUAAUUUUACUAUUAUAGGUGAACAUAUAGGUGCAUAUAUAUGUGCAUAUAUGUACCUA